rnacentral:sRNA from 1 species
GUCGACGUGGUCGUGUAGUUACCUGCGAA